UACGUAGGGGGCUAGCGUUGUCCGGAAUCAUUGGGUGUAAAGCGCGUGUAGGCGGCUCGGAAAGUCGGGUGUGAAAGCCCUGGGCUUAACCCAGGAAGUGCACUCGAAACUUCCGAGCUGGAGUCCUGGAGAGGAAGGCGGAAUUCUCGGUGUAGAGGUGAAAUUCGUAGAUAUCGAGAGGAACACCGGUGGCGAAGGCGGCCUUCUGGACAGUGACUGACGCUGAGACGCGAAAGCGUGGGGAGCAAACAGG
rnacentral:rRNA from 1 species